GACGAACGCUGGCGGCGUGCUUAACACAUGCAAGUCGAACGGUAAGGCCCUUCGGGGUACACGAGUGGCGAACGGGUGAGUAACACGUGGGUGAUCUGCCCUGCACUUCGGGAUAAGCCUGGGAAACUGGGUCUAAUACCGGAUAGGACCCUGGGACGCAUGUCCUGGGGUGGAAGGCUUUUGCGGUGUGGGAUGGGCCCGCGGCCUAUCAGCUUGUUGGUGGGGUUAUGGCCUACCAAGGCGACGACGGGUAGCCGGCCUGAGAGGGUGACCGGCACCACUGGGAAGGCGAGACGGCCGAGGCUCCUACAGGGGGCAGCAGUGGGGGGUAUUGCACAAGGGGCGGAAGACUGAUGCAGGGACGCCGCGUGAGGGAGGACCGCCUUCGGGUUGUAAACCUCUUUCAGCACCGACGAAGCGCAAGUGACGGUAGGUGCAGAAGAAGGACCGGCCAACUACGUGCCAGCCGCCGCCGUAA
rnacentral:rRNA from 1 species